GCAUAAACGAAAUUGGAACCUCAAUAACACUCCUUUAAGCACUUUGAUUAACAUGCAAAUCAAAGGCCAGUACAGUUAGCAAUAGUAAGCCACUCAAAAACAAAAACACACAGAAACAAAAACAGAACAGCCAUGAAGCAAUCAGAAGAUCCUUGAGUUGCAAGAGUAAAAAGUAAAGAUGACAAAUCUAAACCAAAGAUUACAUUACUUACGUAUGCUCGCGAGUAUCUCUGCACUUGAAACAUACCAUCAUCAAACCAGCAAUGCCGACAUUUCUACAUAUCUCACAAGACUCCUUAUACAUAGAACGCACAACUCUCAUAAUCAACAACCCUAACGAGUCGUGAAACAAUACAAAGAAGAGGAAGAGAAUCAAGAUGACAACAGACAACAGUCACAAGAUCACAAGCCUUGAACACACACACACACACAC
rnacentral:lncRNA from 1 species